GAUGAAGAACGCAGCGAAAUGCGAUAAGUAAUGUGAAUUGCAGAAUUCAGUGAAUCAUCGAAUCUUUGAACGCACCUUGCACCCUUUGGCAUUCUGAAGGGUAUGCUCGUUUGAGUGUCAUUGUACUCUCACACUCCCGAUCUUUGCAUUGGGAGCAGUGGACUUGGGUUUGCUGCUUCACCGUCGCUUACCUCAAAUAGGUUAGUGCAACUCUUGGUUGGACAUAGUACGGCGUGAUAAGUGUUCUUCGCCGGUGCCUCGCAAAGAGGGUGGCCGAUCGGGAUGUUGUGCUCCAAACCGUCUUCGGACAAUCUCUGACGACUUGACCUCAAAUCGAGUAAGACUACCCGCUGAACUUAAGCAUAUCAAUAAGCGGGA
rnacentral:misc_RNA from 1 species